GAAAUGCGAUACGUAAUGUGAAUUGCAGAAUUCAGUGAAUCAUCGAGUCUUUGAACGCACAUUGCACCCCCUGGUAUUCCGGGGGGCAUGCCUGUCCGAGCGUCAUUGCUGCCCUCAAGCACGGCUUGUGUGUUGGGCCCCCGUCCCCCCCCCCAAGGGGACGGGCCCGAAAGGCAGCGGCGGCACCGUGUCCGGUCCUCGAGCGUAUGGGAAGCAACUUUUUGUCACCCGCUCCUGUAGGUCCGGCCGGCGGCCUGCCCAACCCCAACCUUUUUUUCAACCAGGUUGACCUCGGAUCAGGUAGGGAUACCCGCUGAACUUAAGC
rnacentral:misc_RNA from 1 species